rnacentral:lncRNA from 1 species
AACGAAGGGUGGUCAGAUGAACACCCUUCGUCGAAAUUUUUUUUUGAGUAUAUAGGUUAAAUAUAGAUAUUUAUGGUUAUGUACAUGUUGUUGCACACCCUUGACAAGCUAGAGAAGCAUAGUCCAGUGGUCAAGAGUGUGCAUUUCCGCAUCAACAAUUCGGAUUUGAACCUUGGCAGGUGCAACAGUGCUUUAUUUUCUUUGUUUUUUAAACAGUUCUUUGCCCAAGGAAAAAUAUGAACACCCUUAAUCAAAAGUCUGGUUCCGCCACUGCAUGGUUAUUGUGCAACCUAAUUUGAUAGGUUUUAUAAAUUCUCCAUUAAAAGAGAAAAGAAUAAGAGUAAAAAUACACUUAGUAUUUCAAAGUGAUGUUGAG